UACGAGUGGCUCAAGCGUUAUCCGGAAUUAUUGGGCGUAAAGGGCCAGUAGGCGGCCAACUAAGUCGGAUGUGAAAUCCCCAGGCUUAACCUGGGAACUGCAUCCGAUACUGGAUGGCUUGAAUUCGGGAGAGGGAUGUGGAAUUCCAGGUGUAGCGGUGAAAUGCGUAGAUAUCUGGAGGAACACCGGUGGCGAAGGCGGCAUCCUGGACCGACAUUGACGCUGAGGCGCGAAAGCCAGGGGAGCAAACGGG
rnacentral:rRNA from 1 species